CAGCUCUCUGCUGGACUUGCUCCACAGCUCUUCACAUACUCUUGCAAAGCAAUGACAAAUCAGACUGGUUCAUCUUUCCUUUUACUUCAUAGUCUUUUUCUUUAUUAAUAUGACAGUUUUUUUAGGACAUUCCAUGGAUUUCAGUACCAUGAUCAGAGAGAUGGCAGACAUUUCCCCCAGUAUGUUUAUGCCUCACUUAUGUCUUUCACUCACCCACAGGCUGAAGCAAGCAAUGAACUGGGGGCAUAGUUCUUAACCUCCUUAGCGAGUGAAGCAUUUGCAUGUUUUAUGCAACACCAGCAUCUAACGCAGCCAUUUUUCUGUGACUACAAUUUACUGGAAGUUCUGUUUGGCAAUGCAAAUAUUCACAGCUAGUUUGGAAAGGUGUUAAAUAUUUCCUAGACAAUAUCAGAAGGCAGAAAGAACUUAAGUGGAUGUGUCUUUCUGAAGUAUGGAUAAUUAUCGAUGUAAUUCCUGAUGAGGCUGAAAUGGCGAUAGUUUCUAAUUUAAGGGGAGAGUCCGCUCCAUACACUGACAAUUUUGAAAGCUUUAGCAUCGCUGUGGAAAAACUGGUGAAUGAAGAUUCCUUCCAUUUUAUGUUGGAACAGAUAUACUAGCACAUAUUAGACAAAGCUAACUAAAUCAAUAUUUUCUAAGAAAAAAAUAGUGUCUUUGAUUUUCUAAAGCCUUAUUAAAAUUAAUUAAAUAUUCAGGACCUGUUUUGUGAGGAAAUCACGAAGAUGACAGAUUAAAGUUUUUAUAUUAGUAUUCUGUAUUUUAAUGAAAACAUGAUAGUUAUUCCUAUAAAAUAUUCCCUUAGGAAACAACUGAUACUGCAGUCAAUAUAGCUGUGACUAUAGUGCCAACAGUUUGACAGCUGCCUUAUUUUAUCUAUGCACAUCAUAGAUAUACGUACUGACUGUACUUAGGUUUGUAACAAACGCUAAACAUGGACAUGCUGUUCCUGAGUAUCAAUUGCUAGAGUUUUUAAAACUUUGUUUCCUACUAGACUAAAUGUUGAGACUUGUCUGCAGUUUUGGAGAUGGAGACUUUUAUCAUGGUUCUGCCUCUUAUAAAUCAGUUCUACCUGAAAUAGGGAGACUCUAGAUGAUGACUUAAACCUAAAUGUUUUUCCAGUACAACACUUGAUUCUUUAUCGCUUAUAACAUCCUUCACUGGGGAGAACUACGGAGUAUUAAUAUUUAUAAUACAUAGAUCUGUAUUUAUUAUCACUUCUGAGUUCUAACAGCAACUGUUACUGAUAUGAGACCUUAUUUGCCUUGGUUCAGCUGUCCUAUUCUGCAUUUUAGUUUUCUGUAUCAUUUAUUUUGGCAAUGGAAGAUUUACACGUAGAAUCACACCUCAGAAAAGAAAUUUAUGAAGCAAAAAUACAACCAUAAGCGUCCUCAAUUAAUGAGUUCUGGGUCCGUAAAAGACCAACGUGUAGAGCUGGGGUCUAUUUGAAAACCUUUCCCUCAGAAGUUAAUCACACUUGCCUUUCUUAAAAGUAUUUACAGAUGCAAGUUAUCUUAGAAUUCAGGAUGCUGCUGGAUCCGCUGCUGUUUCCUGAUACUCUUCAGUAAAAUCAGCAAGCACUGAGUCUGCUGUGCCAGUGAGUAGACUGAAAUCGACAAGGCGCAGAGAGAGGACACAGCCAGGAGAGCUGACACAAACUGACCAAAGGGACGUUCCUAUUGUAUGACUUAGUGUUUGGCCCGAAAAUCCAAGGAAAAGGAGAAGAAAAGGGAGGACAACUUGUUCUGGAUAUCCUCUCUAAAAAAUUGGUAGAGAAGAAGGUUAAGAAGGUUAUGAGGAGUAGUCAGCAUGAAUUCUCCAAGGAAAAAUCAUGCGUGAUUAACCUGGUAGCCUUCUAUGAUGUUGUCACUGGCUGAGUAGAAGGGGGGAGAGCAGUGGAUGUUGUCUACCUUGACUUUAGCAAGUUUUUUAACACCAUCUCCCAAAACAUCCUUGUUACAAAACUUAGAAAAAUGUGGGAGAGAUGAGCGGAUGGUGAGGUAGAUUGAGAAUUGGCUGGUUGGUAGAGCUCAGAGGGUUGUCAUCAAUGGUGCAGAGUCUGGUUGGAGACCUGGAAAUAGCAGUGCUCCCCAGGAGUCUGUGCUGGGUCUGGUCUUGUUUAACAUCUUCACCAACAACCUGCAUUAAGGGAUAGAGCCCACCCUCAGCAAAUUUGCUAAUUUACAAAGCUGGGAGGCAGUGGCUGGCACAACUGAAGGCUGUGCUGCCAUUCAGCAAGACCUGGAGAGACUGGAGAGUUGGGCUGGGAGGAACCUGAUGAGGUUUAACAUGAGCAAGUAUAGAGUCUUGCACCUGGGGAGGAGAAACUGCAUGCAUCAGCACAGGAUAGGGGAUAACCUGCUGAAGAAGAACCUGGGUAUUCUGGUGGAUAACAGGUUGUCCAUGAGCCAGCAGUGUGCCCUCAUGGCCAAGAAGGGCCAGUGGUACCCUGGGCUGCAUUAAAAAGAGUGUGGCCAGCAGGUUGAGGGAGGUUACCCUCUUCCUCUACUCUGCCCUGAUGAGAGCACAUAUGGACUACUGCAUCCAGUUCUGGGAUCCCCAGAUCACUAAAGACAGGAAUGUCCUAAAAGGAGGCCACUAAGAUGAUUAAGGGCCUUGAGCGUCUCCCCUGUGAGGAAAGACUAAGAAACCUGGGUCUGUUCAGCCUGGGGAAAAGAAGACUGGAGGGGGUCUGAUAAAUAUCUGUAAGUAUCCAAAGGGAGGUGGGAGGCAAAUGGAUGAGGCCAGACUCUUUUUGGUGGCAUAUAGUGGUAACAAAAAGGAGCAGUAGCUUAGAAUUUGAACGUUGUUCCACACUAACAUGUUUGUAGUGGAAAUGCUAAGUCACAGUCUGAAAAUGUAAUUGAGCAUCUGGUGGGAAAGCAGGGCUAACCCACAGGAGCUCAGGUGCAUGCAGUGCAUCUCUGUGAAUAAAAGGGGUGAAGCCAGAAUCCACCCAAUCCCAGAUCUUAUUUAAAGGUUGGCAGUAGAGGCAAAGGUAUCUUGCUGGAGAUUCCUGCAUGCUAGAGACCUUCCAAAGGUAAGCAGAUUCUUUUCUUUGUAUCUGUGUUUAUGGCUGCUGCAUUUGAGCUUAUUUGCUGUAGCCUAGGGUUUUGUUACUAUGCUGUCAUAUUGCUGAGUUUUCCAUCAUGUUGCAGUGUUAUACAUGUGGAUAGAGCUCUUUAUGGUAAGGAUGCCUGAGUACUGGCACAAAUUGCUCGAGGGGGUUGUGGAAUCUGCUAUGGAGAUAUCCUGGAUCUCCCAGAUGAUCAUCUGUGUGACCUAUUUUAGGGAACCUACUUUAGCAGGGGGUGAGACUCAACGAUCUCUUGAGGUCCCUUCCAACCUCUGUAAUUCUGUGGUUCUGACAGUUCUAGUUGUGAUACCUGUUCUUUCAAGUAACCGUUACGUGUGCUGAGGCUCUGCAUUCCAGGACAUCUGCCUGUAAGUGUGAAACAGUGAAUGAAUUACUUAAUUCACUUUGCUUACAUGUUUGGCAUUGCUUCACCCAUUUAUCUAAACCUGCAGACUUUUAGCUUCUGCUCUUCUGCUUCUUUCUCCCAUCACAUUGUAGGGAAAUUAAAUAAGGGGCAGGUUGAAGUUUUAUCUGCUGAUUGAGGUAAGUACAUUUACUUGAUCUUUUUUUAUCAUGGACUAUUUCAUAAUUAUUAUAAAUUAAGAUGCUGGUGUUUUUUUUUUAAUUAUUUUGAAGUUAAGUUUUUCUGUUUGUUGGUUGGUUUUAUAAAACCAAGCCUUCGUCUCCUCAGCUAUGCAAGAGAUUUCUUCAACGCUCACUAGGGUACAGUUUGUUAUGAUUACUAAAAGCCAUGAUGCUCUUUCAUUUUCCAUGGAAAGGAAAAUGGCAAAUUAAAUCUAGAAGUCACCCAAUUAUUUUAGAUUAGUGUAAGCCUAACAGGAUUUUUUUUUUUCAUAGUUGAAAGGACCUGGCAAGACUAGUCAACUUGACAGAGGAAAGUAAAAGCCAUGAAGAUUAGAUGUGCAUUGGAAGUUACAAUAAAUAAAUAAAUUAGCUGUAGCUAACUAGAGAAGGAUAUGCUCAUUAGUAUUAUAGUCUACACUAUAAUAUAUAUAGUAUAUAAUAUAUAUAGUAUUCUGUAGUGCCAUGGAAACAUUUGUUUUAAGCCUAACACCUCUUUAUUUCCAGUUUUCAAUUCAUGACAAUUGCUGUCAUUAAAACAGGAGUAUUUUAAUGUUCCUCUUUUUUCUUUUUUAAAAGAAAACCUUUUUCACAAAUGUGAAGUGAGAAGCAGGAAAGUAUCUUGUUUGAAUAGUUUUUUGUUGUUCAUUUGUCACCAUUUAUGAUGUCCUGUAAUUCAGUAGAAGAUCUAUACUCUGAAGGGUCAUUCAGAAUUAAGGACAAACAGGCAAAGGUUACCGGAAGCAGAUAUUGGUGAAAACAGAUCAAUGUGUAGUAAGAAGAAGAUGAAAAUAUAGAUGUUCAAGUCACUAAAGAUGGAAUUGGCAUACACAAAAACUUUGUAUCAUGGGGCUUUUUUUCUUCUUCUUAAAAGAAGGUCAGGAUCUCUGUGGCGUCUCCAAUGGUAUUUCAGGAUGUUCUCAUUUGCAAAUGACAUUUUGCUGUUGCCAGAAUACCUCUAUUUUCUUCUUGAUACCUUUGCUUUCCUUACCAGCUUGGCAGCUUCAUAGGCACUUAAAUACUGAUUACAUAUGUGCUAUGAAAGGGCUUCUGUUUCUAUCCAUACUGCAGAAAAAAAUCUUAAAAAGAGGAAUUAAAAAAUAAAAAGUGAAUAUUGCUGGUUAAAUAAUAGCUGCAUAAUAUUUCUUACUUGAAAGUAGUUUUAAAAUCAGGAUGACUUAAUUUGGCAUUACUUCUAUCUUCUUUCUGUCCUGGCAUGUGAAGACUUUAGGUUGAUUACUUUAAUACCAUGCGUUUCCAGUUCUCUUCGUUGACCUCGUUGACAAUGUGUGUGGGUUGUUGCGACACUAGGUCCACCAUGGAAGAUAGAUUUCUCAGUCUGUGCAGAAUAUCCUACUAAACACUUGUGAUUUGCUGCCAUUAUAAAACUAACAAGAUCAUUAAUAUGAAAACUGUGCCAAAGAUUGAUUGAGAAACAAUAAGAAUAGAAGUUCAUAAUAAAAAUGUUUAGCCUAUAUAAUCAAUAUCCUGUACUUAUAUAAACAUAAGGAGGGAAGUCUCAAAAUAUCAAAGUAAUUAUUAUGGUAUUUUCUCCUCCUGGGAAGGGUAAUUUAUUCUGGGAAGGCUGGUAGAUGUAUUAUAACUUAAAAAAAAAAAAAAAAUUAAAAAUCUCAUACACUGUCAAUUUCCCUUUAAGAUGCCCUUCUCCACAAAGCUUUCAGUACAUCUCAUUCUCCAAGGAGUAAUUAACUUUCACACCUUUCUGCUGUGUGUGUGUGCCACGUGUUUGUGAAACAGGCAGCAGAAUAAUGGCCAUGAACAGUACAGAGAAAACUCCUUCCUACAGAACAUUAAAUGCAUUUGGUGGUAGCUCAUCAUGUAUUCUGACAAGAACAAAGUAAUACCUUGUGAUGAAAAUGGGACAUAUGGGUCAUCUGAGUCCCACUAUUUAUAUCUCUAGACUUUCUACCUAGUAAUAUUCCUUUUCUUCUAAGUGCUUGUGUAAUUGAUUUCAAAUAAGUUCAUGGCUACCUCUUUUGUGGCUGCUGUUGGCGGUCCAUUUCACAUACUAAUCACCAUCUGUGCCAAGAUGUUUCCUGAAUGCCUUUCAUGCUUAGUCCUUUCCCAACUUCAUUUUAUGUGUUCUUACUUUGCAGUCUGCAAUAUCUCACUGAAUACCAUCAGCACCAGCCCUUCUCAGUACUGGUCUUCCAGUGCUCCAGAGCCCCGCUGGAGUCUUUUUCUUUAAAUUCAAAUUUAUCUGUUUCUGUUAAAUUCAAAUUUAUCAGAUAUAAAUGAACUUCUCUUAAUCCAUUUGAUAUUAACAUCUAAAUUUUUCUCUCAUUCUUGCAGUUUCUUCCACGUUGCAAAGCAUGCUUCAUAGAAGUCUAAGAUUGGAGAAAUGAAAAAGAAUGAUUGUUUCAAUAUUUGUCUUCAUUUCUCUUAUAUACUGAUUGAUGUUCUUCAAUCAACUUAGUAGAUGCCAGAGUUUAAUAACCUGAUUGCUGAAGUACUACAAGAACACAGAUUUAAGAAUGUACAGAUUAUGGUCAGGAAAAUAAUAUCUGCAAUCAUCAGCAGGAGGUAUUUGAUCAAGAAUAACAGAGACAACAACAUAAGUAAAACAGAGGCUAAAAAGACACUCUCAAAACACUGAAGAUCUCCAGAAUUGAUUGAGAGCUACAAAGAGAAAACAGGAGAGGUUUGUUGCUGUUUCCCACAAUCCAUUGAGAAGUAGGAAAUACUUCAUAUAAAUCUAAAAGCUUUUUGGUUACUGAACCAUACAAUGAUUAUAAAGGGAUAACAAACCACCAGAAACAUUCCACCACUGAAACAGAGCAAGAAAAAAAAAAUCCAAACAAAAAAAAAGACAUGCAGAACUGUGAUUCCUUUAUAUUUAAGCUGAGAAGAUGUUUUUUCCUGAUGGCAGAGGUAUUGAUCAUUUUGUCACUGAGUACUAGUGUCAGCAAAACUAUUGUGUGACGACAAAUUUUCCAAAUUUAUGUAGACAAUCCAGAACAAAUAAGAGUAUAAAACAAAUUCUCCUUUCCUCUGUUAAACAUGUGUGUGAUUUUCAGUAUACUAUUCACCCUUAUUUAUGUUGCUAUGUUGCUGCUCAGUUACUACUGAAAAAUAUCACCUUUGAAUUUUUAAAUCAUGACUGGAUAUUAAUUUGGCAUGGAGAUAAAGGUAAGUUUUUCACUUCAUCUUGCAUUGAGAACUUGAACUACAAAUAGUAAACUUGCUUUUGCUUGCACUCUAAAGAACUUAUUUAUGAAGAAUACCUUGUUUUUUGCUUUCUAAAUAUGACGCAUAAAAAUAUGGCGUGAGCGGCACAAAAAUCCUUGAGUAAAAUACAUUUACAUUAAAUGGACUUAGUAUACUGGAGUAGCUUUAUUCUUAUUAAGCUUGGUGCAAGACACAAGUACUAAGUGUUCCUUUGCAAUAAGUUUCGAGUAUCUUCAAAGGUCAAGAAUAACCUUAGUUUUGAAAUGGAAGAAAGCAGAAUGACGUUUUAAUUUUUCAAACUUCAGAAUGUAUUUAUGUAAUUGUAGUUUCUAUGCAAGUGUUUACAUAGGAUUUACUCAUUGAAAUCACCAUGAAUGUUUCUUGCCCUUGAUCUCGUUUUAGCAGUGGAGUAUUCCUUAAAGUUUCUUUUUAUUCCCACGACUAUUCUAUGACUGUCACUCCAGCAUUGAAAACACUUAUUCAAGUGUUUGUAUUUAUUCAAGUAUGUAUUUAUUCAAGUCUUCAGUGUUAAUUCAAGUAUGGUGAUUUCAGGUUGAAAUCUAUGCUCUGUCCAAAUUAAAGAAGAGAUCUGAAUUAAGGGAUCCCGUUCCCAUAGAAUGUCACAUCCACAGCAUUCUUAGAGUUGGU